rnacentral:misc_RNA from 1 species
UCCGAUUUGUCACCGGCAGUCUCCUAUGAGUCCCCGUCUUUCACGCUGGCAACAUAGGACAGGGGUUGCGCUCGUUGCGGGACUUAACCCAACACCUCACGGCACGAGCUGACGACAACCAUGCACCACCUGUAUAGGGCCCCGAAGGACACUACAUCUCUGUAGCUUUUCCCUAUAUUUCAAGCCCUGGUAAGGUUCUUCGCGUUGCGUCGAAUUAAGCCACAUGCUCCGCCGCUUGUGCGGGUCCCCGUCAAUUCCUUUGAGUUUUAGCCUUGCGGCCGUACUCCCCAGGCGGGGCGCUUAAUGCGUUAGCUACGGCACGGAUCCCAUGGAAGGGGACCCACACCUAGCGCCCAACGUUUACGGCGUGGACUAC